UACGGGAGGCAGCAGUGGGGAAUAUUGCACAAUGGGCGCAAGCCUGAUGCAGCCAUGCCGCGUGUAUGAAGAAGGCCUUCGGGUUGUAAAGUACUUUCAGUCGUGAGGAAGGUGUUAAGGUUAAUAACCUUAGCAAUUGACGUUAGCGACAGAAGAAGCACCGGCUAACUCCGUGCCAGCAGCCGCGGUAAUACGGAGGGUGCGAGCGUUAAUCGGAAUUACUGGGCGUAAAGGGCACGCAGGCGGUUAAUUAAGUUGGAUGUGAAAUCCCCGGGCUUAACCUGGGAAUGGCAUUCAAGACUGGUUAGCUAGAGUCUUGUAGAGGGGGUAGAAUUCCAUGUGUAGCGGUGAAAUGCGUAGAGAUGUGGAGGAAUACCGGUGGCGAAGGCGGCCCCUGGCAAAGACUGACGCUCAUGUGCGAAAGCGUGGGGAGCAAACAGGGAUUAGAUACC
rnacentral:rRNA from 1 species